GGAACAAAAAGAAAAUUCCCAGAAAAUAGACGCUACCCCUCCCUCCUCUCGUUUCUCCCCCGCGCGCGUGAUGAAAGUUCGGUACGCAUCUCGCGCAGAGACGCGCUAGACGAUGAAGAAACGCCUUUUUCUGCUCUAUACAGUCUCGCCAGCUGCGUACUCCAGCGAAAUCAUCCUUGCUCGCUUGGAGAUGAGGACACGUCGCAUUGCAAGGACAACCAUUCCAUCUCGACCGUCCUUCCCUCCUUUUCGUUUCCGGAAUGGGGCAGACUUGCGGAAAAAGGGUGUCGCUCCGUUAAGGGAAAGGAAUUAAAAAUUUGAAUUCGAAAUGGGCCUCAAAUCGUCCCUCCAGCCCUCUCCCUCGAAACCCUAGUUGCUCUUCCUAUUUAAACUCUGUUUUGCUUCAGAAUUUGGGGGUUAGCAAUUUUGGGGUUGGAAUUUUUUUGGAAGAAAGUUUUCACGGGGAGAGUUUGAGAAUUGAGUUUAAGACUAAUGGCCUUUCUAUUCGUCUGGUUUUUUUUUUUUUGGUAAGAAUUGAAAGAAGCACAGAAGGGAAGUUUUGAGGAUAAUUGAGAGUUUCUCACAGCGGUUCGAACAAGAAGAAACAAUUUCGUCGAGAGUCGGUGUGACGUUCUAGUUCAAACGUGCGAAGCGGAGGUGUGGUUUCUAGUUGGUUGAAGCAUCGCUGUUGUGCUCAUAUCGUCCCAGUGUUGCUGCCCCGGAAAAGGUAUCGUCCAUCUCUUUCCAACUUCCUUCAUCUACGUGCGUCGAUGCGCUGUUUCUUAGCUGUGCUUGUUAAUG
rnacentral:lncRNA from 1 species